ensembl:lncRNA
CGCCUGUAGCCGGGCUUGACAUCAGGCAAAAUGUUUUUUUUUUUUUUUUAAAUCAACCAUUAUAACGACGUAGAAAGUGCAAACAUCUACAGGAAACCGGAAAGGGUCACCAAAGACGCCCCGCUGACAAAAACCCGUCUGAAAACCACCUAAACGGAGCUAAAUGUAGCGCACCGUGUGCCAACUUUGUUUCGAAUAUCCAAACCCCGGCAGUCCCCGUAUCCCUCUAGCGGCGCGGACUGCACCGAUACCCGGCAUGCAUCGUUAGGAGACACCGCAGAGCAACCAUGUUUCUCAGUACCGGCCAUGGCAGUCAAAAACACCCCCCGAAAACAGCACUGAACGACGCAGUCAGUCUUCACGGCAGAGAGAUGAUGAAGGUGGUCAGGUGGAAGCUGGGCUGUCAAACACGGAAACAUUUUAGCAGGCCGCAUCUGUCAUGGUUGUGUCAGAGCACUCAACGCCCAGCAGGCGAGAGGGAAAAAAGGAGAUUUGUCUUUGAUUUCCACCCACAGAGAGUCAGAUCCACAAACACAAUCACAACAAUCAAUUUGCAGAAUCAACAAGUAACAGAAGAGAUGACUAUGUGCCAUGGAAGGUGCUGAGGUGUAGACGGUGCAUGUGAUCUGCUGGGCGGAGCUAUGGCUGACUCGACUUACCUUAUCCAAUCCUCUGUCUACGUGCGGAUACUUAAGCACCUCUCCCUUUGACUUCAGUGCCAGUUCUUCAUGUACCUCGAGUCGUAAGCAACUAGCUGUGAACCUUGCCUUAUUCUUAGUGCCUUGUGACUUACCUUGUUUCUCCUUGUUAGGCCUCCAGCCACAGCGCCCAGCUGAUCCUCGCCUUGGACCUGGACCUUUUGUUUUUUCGCCUUCGUGGUAGUUUUGUUUUUGGGCUCAACAUUUUCGCCCUUGUGGUAGUUUUGUUUUGCACUUUGCCUUUUUCGCCCUUGUGUCUGUUAGCUUUAUUAAAAACUGUUAACCGCACACUACACAUAUACCAUAUAACUAAGAACUUAAGAUAAAUAUAAAGUGUAAAAAAUGUACCUACAAUGAGGCACACACAAAAAUAAAUAGCUGCGUGAGAGGAGAGCUUAUACCUAAUACCUAAUGAUAAAAUAUCACAUCCAAUAUCAGAUCCAAGAUACUGCAAUCACUAGUUUGUGGGUUUAAAUGACACUUGCUUGUACCAAAUGUGAAGAAGUUUCCAUAAAACACAUGAUAUAUCAGUCAAAAGAGUGGGAGGUGUGGAAACUUUAACUUUAAGCCACAGCUGUUCUGUUGGUGCAUAAGGUUAAGAGGUCAGCAACAGAAGUGUUGUUUCUACCUUGUAAUGCUGCACCAAUUGUGCAGAAAACUGGUGCUUUAAAAAUGCUUGGAUCUCUAAACUCUAUGUCUUUAGCUACAUUUAAAAGAAUUUCCAAAACUUAUGUUCCUUUACCUCCCUUUUUUCCCAUGUUGUUAUUGCAUUCACCUAACACCCAACACCUGCAGUGCUGUAAUAAAAUAUAUACUGCCGGCCCCACAAUGUUCGCUGGUUUAACAAGCAGACAUGCAUGCUGACAGUAAAGCUGUAGAGGAGCAGUCAACAAAUGAGAACUGGCCCCUGGCUCCUGUUACUGAAGCCAUGCACUGGUUUAUUUGCAGGUAUUUGGACGCGGGUAAAUAAGUACUUGAUUACAUUUUUAACAAAUAUGUCCAGUAUUGGUCAACAGAAUAGCACCUGUGUGUGUGUGAUUGAUGGCAACAACAGUUCAAUUACUACUCAGCGCUGAUAUUCCCUUAAAGAGUUUGUUGCUCUCACCUUCUGGCUCAUUUCCACCACCUGAGCGUGUAUCAUGUUUUACAAAAAUGUCACAGAGUCAGAGCCCCAGCGGAGCCACUUCAGCGGCUUAAUGCAACUCACUUCGACACAAACCACACACAGUCUCUUACCCUCUGUUUGCUCUUUUUCUCUUCUUCUCCGACUCCGUCUCCUUCGCACAGUGACUCAUCCUUCCACAGACACAUUUUUACACACCUCAGGCAGCCACAGUUAACAGUGGAGGUGUCAGAUUCUGCUUUAUUUUUUCCACUCAAAUUGCAUCGUUUUCAAACGUGUGAGUUGGUCACGGUGUAAGUUCCCACUAUUGUGAAGCCAUGAAGAAAUGAGAAUAAACAUGAUAUGUAUAUUCUGUAUGUGCAUUGUCAGUUAAAGAUGAAAAUAAGGAUAUACAACAGACUUGAAUAUGAAGGCGGUCUUAUUUAUUCAUAGAUCUUAUAGAUCAUAUCUUAUUUAUUUAGUUUCAGAUUCUAACAUUGGUUCAAAGGCCUUUCAUCGAAGCAAUUCUUUAGAAGUGUUGCGCUCAGCUUCUUGAACAGUCCCAUCUCUGGCAGUCAAGACAGUAACUCAGGCAGUUUGCUCAUUAGCGUCUUUAUCAAAGAGAAAAACCCAAAGCGCUGAUGACAUUAGAUACACAAAUGUUUGAAAGAAUGUGUUUCACUGACCAGAAAAAAAAAAUGCAAAUGCAUUCACGGUGUCAGAGACAACAGAAGGAUUAAGGGAUGCUAAAAACAAAGACGUUUUCAUUAAGGAGUUUUGCUGAUUGGGGGAGUUUGCAGUGGCUCUGGGGGAUUACCUGUGUCACACAGGAGGGGCAGCAGGAUGCACGGCCUUUGUAAGGUUGGACUAAGCAUUGUUAAAAUAAGGAUAAGUGUCUGCAAUAUUCUCCUAAUAAAUCUUAGGAUACUUAGGACAUUUUGUAUUGCCCCACAUCAGAUGUUUCUUGUGUUUCAGACCAAAGCUUUGUCACUUUACUUUUCCUUUAAAUUGUUGUUUGAUCCCUUUUACCUUGAGCCUACACAGGGGUG